UUUUGGUUGCUGAUGGUU
rnacentral:sRNA from 1 species